GAUGAACGCUGGCGGCGUGCCUAAUACAUGCAAGUAGAACGCAGUUGCGAACGGGUGAGUAAUGCGUAGGUAACUGCCUGGUAGCCGGGGAUGACUAUUGGAAACGCUAGCUACUACCGCAUACUAUCAGAUGGACCUGCGUUGUAUUGGCUAGUUGGUGGGGUAACGGCUCACCAAGGCAACGAUACCUAGCCGACCUGGAGGGGUGGUCGACCAAACUGGGAAUGGGACAAGGCCCAGACGUCUACGGGAGGGAGCAGUAGGGAAACUUCGGAAAAUGGGGGAACGCUUACCGAGCAACGGCGGGGGAGUGGAGGAAGUUUUCGGGUUGUUAAACUCUGUUGUGAAGGAAGCGGUACUUAACCAGAAAGGGACGGCUAACUACGUGCCAGCAGCCGCGGUAAUAC
rnacentral:rRNA from 1 species